UAUGGCAGAAUAGUGCAAUGAAUUUAAGAUUCAAAUAUGGGAUUAAAUACCCUUUUAGAAU
rnacentral:tRNA from 1 species